AAAUUGAAGAGUUUGAUCAUGGCUCAGGUUGAACGCUGGCGGCAGGCCUAACACAUGCAAGUCGAACGGUAACAGGAAGCAGCUUGCUGCUUUGCUGACGAGUGGCGGACGGGUGAGUAAUGUCUGGGAAACUGCCUGAUGGAGGGGGAUAACUACUGGAAACGGUGGCUAAUACCGCAUAACGUCGCAAGACCAAAGAGGGGG
rnacentral:rRNA from 1 species